rnacentral:rRNA from 1 species
CCUUACCAAGGUUUGACAUGGAGGGCAAUGUUGAAGAAACUCAACGGAGGUUAUCCCGACACAGGUGGUGCAUGGUUGUCGUCAGUUCGUGCUGUGAAGCGUAUGCUUAAGUGCUAGAACGAACGCAACCCUCAUAUUUAGUUGCCAUCAUUCAGUUGAGAACUUUAAAUAGACUGCUAAGAAAACUUAGAGGAAGGAGAGGAUGACGUCUGAUCAUCAUGCCCCUUACACCCUGGGCUACACACGUGCUACAAUGGUUAGGACAAAGGGUCGCUAACUCGCGAGGGGGAGCCAAUCCCAAAAAACUAACCCAAGUUCGGAUUGGAGUUUGCAACUUGACUCCAGAAGUCGGAAUCGCUAGUAAUCGGAUCAGCAA